rnacentral:rRNA from 1 species
AGCUCCAAUAGCGUAUAUUAAAGUUGUUGCAGUUAAAAAGCUCGUAGUUGGAAGUUGGGCACGGCCGGGCGGUCCACCUUUGGGUGCGUACUGCUCAGUGGCGCAAGCCACGAGGCUGAGCCUUGGCCUCGUCCUUCCAUGGCAGCAAUGGCAUGGACGGGACAGGCAGUUACCUUGAAAAAAUUAGAGUGUUCAAAGCAGGCUAUACGCCGGAAUAGAUUAGCAUGGAAUAACGGAAUAGGACUUUGGUCUUGUUUUGCUGGUUCUCAGGACCACGGUAAUGAUCAACAGGGACAGUUGGGGGCACUCGUAUUUCAUUGCUAGAGGUGAAAUUCUUGGAUUUAUGAACGACGAACUUUUGCGAAAGCAUCUGCCAAGGAUGUUCUCA